rnacentral:rRNA from 1 species
UACGUAGGGGGCAAGCGUUGUCCGGAAUCAUUGGGCGUAAAGCGCGCGUAGGCGGCCCGGUAAGUCCGUUGUGAAAGUCAAAGGCUCAACCUUUGAACGCCGAUGGAUACUGCCGGGCUAGAGUCCGGAAGAGGCGAGUGGAAUUCCUGGUGUAGCGGUGGAAUGCGCAGAUAUCAGGAGGAACACCAAUAGCGAAGGCAGCUCGCUGGGACGGUACUGACGCUGAGGAACGAAAGCCAGGGGAGCGAACGGG